rnacentral:rRNA from 1 species
UACAGAGGGGGCAAGCGUUAUUCGGAAUUACUGGGCGUAAAGGGCGCGUAGGCGGCCUUGUAAGUCUUGUGUGAAAUCCCUCGGCUCAACUGAGGAACUGCACGGGAUACUGCGAGGCUUGAGUUCGGGAGAGGGAAGCGGAAUUCCGGGUGUAGCGGUGAAAUGCGUAGAUAUCCGGAGGAACACCGGUGGCGAAGGCGGCUUCCUGGACCGACACUGACGCUGAGGCGCGAAAGCUAGGGGAGCAAACGGG